ensembl:lncRNA
CUUAUUGGAGAUCCCUGUAUACCUGAAGCUUUCUGAAGACUGGGAAGGAUGCUCUUCAGUGGAAAACGCACUGUGUGGUCAAAGAGCUGAACAGUCCACAUAGAGCUCCAUUUGUGCAUUCUGCACCGAAGCUGCCUGAUAGACCAUCCUGUGGCUGCAUAGUCUACUAGCUCCUGAAUGUAUCCUGGUAACGUAAUGUUCAAUGUCUGGUGCUUGAACAACAUCAGUUAUGUUUGUAUGGCUUUGUGGCAUGUGGAUAGACACUAAGUCAAUGGUGAGACUUGGGUAGGAGAAAUAUUAUGCUUUUUCACCAUUGUGAUUCAGAAUCUUCUGCAUGUCAAGUAAUAGAUGGGAAUAUAAAAUAUUGAAUCUGCUCAUCUUUUAUGGCCUUGGCAAUAAUAAAAGAUCCCCUCUGUGUAAUGUUAGAGUGCUGAAAUAUAUAUUCAAUAUCUCCCAUAAAUUAGUUAGUGGGUUUUUGUAGAUGUUGAAUUCCAGUUUGAGAAAAGUAGAGGGGAAAAAAAGGAAUUACUUUUUGAACUUAAAAAUUUAUUCAUCCAAGUAAACGUUACAUCCACGUAUGCUUAUGUAACUCGGAUCAAUACUGUAACUUGUCUAUUUCUAAUAUCAGAAUGAUAGAGUGAACACUUUUGAAGAGUUGAAAUGCUAUUGAUUUACGCAGUCAGUACAAUUAAAAUAAAGUAAUUAGAACUCCUUAGGGGUCUGUUGGAGCUGUUUCGAAUGUGCUUCCUCUUGGGUAACAAGGAAUGAAAGAAUGACUGAUUAUGGAUGUGAUAGUCUGUGUACUCAUGCGUGCUGUUAAAAAUCAACUAAAACUUUUUGUUUUGAAACUGAAUGGUUGAAAAUGAUAAAAUGGUUGUAAGAGUUGCAUUAGAUUCCAGCAGAGAUGGAGUAGCAAAGCAAAUUAUUACCUGCUUUUAGAGAUGGGAAAAUUUAGUAUGGUUUAUGUUGAAUAUUGGUAGUGGCCAAGACUCGAAUGCAAGAUUGUGCAGCCCCUCAGCUUGUGCUGGGAACUGUAGCCUCAGAUUCUGCAUUUUCUUUUCCUUAUACUCCACAAUAAUACUGGGUGACCUAAGGGAAGCCACUUCCUAAAGCUGUUCAGAAAGAAAGUAAACACUGCAUAACAGCUGCAAUGAUACUGGUCUUGUGCUAGGGAAGAAAUGAAUCUACUUCAAUAAGAGUAUUUUAUGAAUUAAGAUCUUUCCAGAAUGAGUGCCUGAAAUGAGUUAUGAAAUUCUUUGUUACUCAAGAUUUUGGAACUAUGCAGUCUUCCCAUUCUGGGUGUUUCUUAAAUGAUUUCAUUGCAAGAGGAGCUCUUUCAGGAGAAUUUGUUCUUAGCAUUUGGAAAUUGUUUGAUCUUAAUUGGAAAUUUACCUCGAGAUAUGAGAUAAAAUAAGCUUACGAAUGAGAUGUCCUUGAAAAUAAAAUCAUUUGCACAGACGCUUGCAAACACGAUGCCCUUGCUUGCAAGUUGUGCAGAAGCUUGCAAAUUCCUUUCCACACGGUCUUUAUUAGGUGGAUUGGGAAGUCUGCAACCUCCAAGUUCUUCAGCUAGUUUUGAAAGGAGGAGGGACAAUGCGUCAGGAAGAAUAAAAAGGAGGCUGUGCUUUCUGAUGGUUUGAGGGAAAAGGUCCCCAGUUGGUUCUCCCUUUGUCUGAAUAAAGAAAGCUAAAGACUCUCCUCUGUUUCUUUUUGGGAUUGUAUGGGAACUGCUGAGUCACGGCCUGAACCGCUGAUUGACCAUCUGGAGACAAGAGCCGGUCAGCCCUGGGAGCACAGGUGAAGGCAAUUCAGCUGUGCGACUAGAAGGAGAGCCUGCCUGCACCUCUUUUGGACUUCAUUUAAGGGCUGACUGCCACUGUGGAAGGAUCUUUUGUUGGCGAUCCUUCCUUUGUGGAGUUUCUACUGCAGGCCUAGAACCUUGGAGACAGCAGGAGCUCGUCCUCCUGUCGCCUGAGUUACAUUCCGGAGGGCAGAGCUGGAAGUCAUAUCAGAAACGAAAUACAAAACGUGUUAUGGGACAUGGAGGAGAUCGUGGAGAGGGCACGGACGUGGCGCUGGGUCCUGGAUUCAGGAGAAAAGGUGUUUUUGCAGUUUGCAGCUCCAGAUGCUGUAUGACCUUCUGUUGUUUCUCCAUGAUUUCAGCAUUUGUGGAUAGAAAGGAAAAUAGAACGUGCAGCCUGCAACAAACCUCC